rnacentral:rRNA from 1 species
GACGAACGCUGGCGGCGUGCUUAACACAUGCAAGUCGGACGGAAAGGCCCUGCUUUUGUGGGGUGCUCGAGUGGCGAACGGGUGAGUAACACGUGAGUAACCUGCCCUUGACUUUGGGAUAACUUCAGGAAACUGGGGCUAAUACCGGAUAGGAGCUCCUGCGGCAUGGUGGGGGUUGGAAAGUUUCGGCGGUUGGGGAUGGACUGGCGGCUUAUCAGCUUGUUGGUGGGGUAGUGGCUUACCAAGGCUUUGACGGGUAGCCGGCCUGAGAGGGUGACCGGCCACAUUGGGACUGAGAUACGGCCCAGACUCCUACGGGAGGCGGCAGUGGGGAAUAUUGCACAAUGGGCGGAAGCCUGAUGCAGCAACGCCGCGUGCGGGAUGACGGCCUUCGGGUUGUAAACCGCUUUCGCCUGUGACGAAGCGUGAGUGACGGUAAUGGGUAAAGAAGCACCGGCUAACUACGUG